AAAGGAAACAGUUUGCCGUCUGCUUUUUCUCUUCCCCCAUUUCCUGGACCGAACAUAAGGUGGUCAUGACCCAGCUUUGACCACGCCGCCAAGAACAACAUCCUAGGAACUGUGAUGCAACAAGAUAGGAAGGAGCCGCGUCCCUAAAUGACCCAAAAGGAGUGAACAGCGCCGGCGGCCUGGCCCACUCAGCUCUGGUCUCUUGUGUAGGAGUCAGGCUCUUAGUUUGAUCCCAGCAUUGAAAAAAAAAAUGACGGAAGGAAGGAAAGACAACCUUAGGACAAUUCUCAACAGCCCGCGAAGCGCAGAGAUCAAGGAGGCAGCUGUUAAAAAUCUGAAGCCACACAUAGGAAGCACCGAAAACAACGGUGCUUCCUCGACAGACACAACGGCGACUAUCAAUAGCAGAGACGUGCUCUGGGCUGGCCUCGGUGGCGGGGCUGAAGCAACCCUCUUCCGGUGGGGGGGGGGGGAGGCUCAGGGUCUGGUUUUGCUCUAGAAGAAGCUCGAGUCCAGUUUCUCCUUUUUAUAGAUGUGUUUCUGUCCUUUGAUCACGACAAGCCAUAAGAUGCCUCCUCUCCAGUCCUUUCUCUCCUCCUGUCAUUUCCUUAUCUGUUUCCAUAGUUUGGCUUUUCUUUCUCUCUCUCUCUCAUUUCUAUCAGUAGAGUUAGUCAUGAUGGCAUUGUUGAGUUAUUUGAUUAUGAAAAAAAAAGAAAAUUAAAAAAUAAACAAGCAAAAAAAAAAAAAACCCUCAUUCACAAACUCUCUCAAAGCACCACGAAGAAUCAGGAUUUCCCCUGAUUAGAAGGCAUCCCAGUUGGGGGU